UACGUAGGGUGCAAGCGUUGUCCGGAAUUAUUGGGCGUAAAGAGCUCGUAGGCGGCUUGUCACGUCGACUGUGAAAACCCGGGGCUCAACUCCGGGCCUGCAGUCGAUACGGGCUGGCUUGAGUGCGGUAGGGGAGACUGGAAUUCCUGGUGUAGCGGUGAAAUGCGCAGAUAUCAGGAGGAACACCGGUGGCGAAGGCGGGUCUCUGGGACGUAACUGACGCUGAGGAGCGAAAGCGUGGGGAGCGAACAGG
rnacentral:rRNA from 1 species